GAACGCUAGCGGCAGGCUUAACACAUGCAAGUCGAGGGCAGCGCGGGUGUAGCAAUACAUCUGGCGGCGACCGGCGGAAGGGUGCGUAACGCGUGAGCAACAUUCCCGCAUCUGGGGGAUAAGCACUGGAAACGGUGUCUAAUACCCCAUAACAACAGGAGUCACAUGACUUUUGUUCGAAAGCUGCGACGGAUGCGGAUUGGCUCGCGUGACAUUAGCUAGUCGGCGGGGUAACGGCCCACCGAGGCGACGAUGUCUAGGGGUUCUGAGAGGAAGGUCCCCCACACUGGAACUGAGACACGGUCCAGACUCCUACGGGAGGCAGCAGUGAGGAAUAUUGGUCAAUGGGCGGAAGCCUGAACCAGCCAUGCCGCGUGAAGGAAUAAAGCCCUAUGGGUCGUAAACUUCUUUUGUGGUGGAGCAAUAAGGGCUACGCGUAGUCCGAUGAGAGUACAUCACGAAUAAGCAUCGGCUAACUCCGUGCCAGCAGCCGCGGUAAUACGGAGGAUGCAAGCGUUAUCCGGAUUUAUUGGGUUUAAAGGGUGCGUAGGCUGUGCCGCAAGUCGGGGGUGAAAGCCCGGGGCCCAACCCCGGAACUGCCCUUGAUACUGCGGCGCUGGAGUUCGGAUGCCGUGGGAGGAAUGAGUAGUGUAGCGGUGAAAUGCAUAGAUAUUACUCAGAACACCGAUUGCGAAGGCAUCUCACGAAUCCGACACUGACGCUGAGGCACGAAAGCGUGGGGAUCAAACAGGAUUAGAUACCCUGGUAGUCCACGCAGUAAACGAUGAUGACUAACUGUCGGCGAUA
rnacentral:rRNA from 1 species